rnacentral:rRNA from 1 species
AAUUCGAUUAGUUUGAUCCUGGCUCAGGAUGAACGCUAGCGGCAGGCCUAAUACAUGCAAGUCGAACGGUUGUUAGCAAUAGCAAUAGUGGCGCACGGGUGCGUAACACGUAACUAACCUACCUAUAACUGGGGGAUAGCCCGCCGAAAGGCGGAUUAAUACCGCAUAAGCUGUUUGCCUGGCAUCAGGUGAUUAGUAAAGAUUUAUUGGUUAUAGAUGGGGUUGCGGGUCAUUAGCUAGUUGGUUGGGUAACGGCUGACCAAGGCGACGAUGACUAGGGGAGCUGAGAGGCUGGUCCCCCACACGGGCACUGAGAUACGGGCCCGACUCCUACGGGAGGCAGCAGUAGGGAAUAUUGGGCAAUGGGCGAGAGCCUGACCCAGCCAUGCCGCGUGCAGGAAGAAGGCUUUCUGAGUCGUAAACUGCUUUUGACAGGGAAGAAUAAGCCUUACGUGUAGGGUGAUGACGGUACCUGCAGAAUAAGCACCGGCUAACUCCGUGCCAGCAGCCGCGGUAAUACGGAGGGUGCGAGCGUUGUCCGGAUUUAUUGGGUUUAAAGGGUGCGUAGGCGGCCGUUUAAGUCUGGGGUGAAAGCCCGCUGCUCAACAGCGGAACUGCCCUGGAUACUGGAUGGCUUGAGUACAGACNAGGUUGGCGGAAUGGACUGAGUAGCGGUGAAAUGCAUAGAUACAGUCCAGAACCCCGAUUGCGAAGGCAGCUGACUAGGCUGUUACUGACGCUGANGC